rnacentral:rRNA from 1 species
CGGAUUAGCGGCGGACGGGUGAGUGACACGUGAGUAACCUGCCUUAGACAUUGGGAUAGCCUCGGGAAACCGGGAUUAAUACCAAAUAAAAUCAUAAUGACACAUGUCAUAACGAUCAAAACUCCGGUGGUCUAAGAUGGACUCGCGUCCCAUUAGCUAGUUGGUAGAGUAAAAGCCUACCAAGGCGACGAUGGGUAGCCGGCCUGAGAGGGUGAACGGCCACAUUGGAACUGAGAAACGGUCCAA